rnacentral:rRNA from 1 species
AGGAUGAACGCUAGCGGCAGGCUUAAUACAUGCAAGUCGAGGGGUAAAAGAGAGCUUGCUCUCUUUGAGACCGGCAAACGGGUGCGGAACACGUACGCAACCUUCCCAUAACUGGUGAAUAGCCCUCCGAAAGGAGGAUUAAUACACCGUAAUAUAAUGAUGUGGCAUCACAUUAUUAUCAUAGGCUUCGGCCGGUUUUGGAUGGGCGUGCGCCUGAUUAGGUAGUUGGCGGGGUAACGGCCCACCAAGCCUUCGAUCAGUAACUGGUGUGAGAGCACGACCAGUCACACGGGCACUGAGACACGGGCCCGACUCCUACGGGAGGCAGCAGUAAGGAAUAUUGGUCAAGUGGACGAAAGUCUAGAACCAGCCAUCGCCGCGUAGGAAGGAUUAAGGCCCUCGUGGUUAGUAAACUUUCUUUUAUCGUAGGAACGAAAACGGUAUUCUUACUCACUUGACGUACAGAGAAUAGCACGCUAACUCGUGCCAGCAGCCGC